rnacentral:rRNA from 1 species
GUAAGGGCAUGUACAAUGGUGGCAUAUGGAUACAUAUGCCUCAUGACAAAAAGUAAUUUGAGGCAUCUAUAUUAACUUUUUCUCUUCAAUGUAAGCUAUCACUAGUGGGCCUCAUUAAGAAAUAGAAAAAUAAAGAGUCUAUUACAUAUGCAUCUCUACUUUUCACUCAACCUUUUCAGCUUUUGUCACCGGACCACACUUUUUCUGUUCAAGCACCCGCCUCCUAGAGAGGAUCCCGCUUUCCUAUCCGAACCUACUUUACGUCAUAUCCGAUCCUACAUGGCAUGCGAGCCAUCACCUUGAGGCUAUGCAUUGUACAUGCCCU